UGCUUCCUACGGGAGGCAGCAGUGAGGAAUAUUGGUCAAUGGCCGGAAGGCUGAACCAGCCAAGUCGCGUGAGGGACGACUGCCCUAUGGGUUGUAAACCUCUUUUAUAAGGGAAGAAUAAAUGCUACGUGUAGCAUGAUGCCUGUACCUUAUGAAUAAGCAUCGGCUAACUCCGUGCCAGCAGCCGCGGUAAUACGGAGGAUGCGAGCGUUAUCCGGAUUCAUUGGGUUUAAAGGGUGCGUAGGUUGUUUUAUAAGUUAGCGGUGAAAUACCGAUGCUCAACAUCGGGGCUGCCGCUAAUACUG
rnacentral:rRNA from 1 species